rnacentral:rRNA from 1 species
UCCACGCCCUAAACGAUGUUCACUAGUCGUCGGAAUGCUAGUCAUUUCGGUGAUGCACUUGACAGAUUAAGUGAACCGCCUGGGGAGUACGGUCGCAAGAUUAAAACUCAAAGGAAUAGACGGGGACCCGCACAAGUGGUGGAGCAUGUGGUUUAAUUCGAAGAUACGCGAAGAACCUUACCUAGCCUUGACAUUGAUUGAACGGACCAGAGAUGGACCGGUGCCCUUCGGGG